UACGGAGGGUGCGAGCGUUGUCCGGAAUCACUGGGCGUAAAGGGCGCGUAGGCGGCUUGGGAAGUCCGUGGUGAAAGCCCGAGGCUCAACUUCGGGUCGGCCAUGGAUACUCCUAAGCUCGAGUCGACUAGAGGCUAAUGGAAUUCCGGGUGUAGCGGUGGAAUGCGUAGAGAUCCGGAAGAACACCGGUGGCGAAGGCGGUUAGCUGGGGUCUGACUGACGCUGAGGCGCGACAGCGUGGGGAGCAAACAGG
rnacentral:rRNA from 1 species